UACGGAGGGGGUUAGCGUUGUUCGGAAUUACUGGGCGUAAAGCGCGCGUAGGCGGAUUAGAAAGUUGGGGGUGAAAUCCCGGGGCUCGACCCCGGAACUGCCUCCAAAACUACUAGUCUAGAGUUCGAGAGAGGUGAGUGGAAUUCCGAGUGUAGAGGUGAAAUUCGUAGAUAUUCGGAGGAACACCAGUGGCGAAGGCGGCUCACUGGCUCGAUACUGACGCUGAGGUGCGAAAGUGUGGGGAGCAAACAGG
rnacentral:rRNA from 1 species